AUAGGCAUAGUUGUUUUCGAUUCUUAAAAUAUUUAGAUUUUUACUAUAGUUUCAACAAAAAUUAUCUGGUAUUUUAGUACAGUAUACUAUAGUCAUACUAUAGAUUUACUACAGUACUAUAAGAUUAUUUCCAAUUAGGCUACUAUAGUUCUCAGAACAAAAUUUUUAGCAGCCAAAAGAAAAUGCUAGAUUUACUGUAAGCUACUGUAGGUUUAGUAACACAGGAAUAUUUACAUAGUAUUUCGGAAAUGCUGUAGAGCUUUAGUUUUUCUGCUCGAUCAUCACCAACUGUGAUUCAACGUUUUAAAUGGUAAAAUGAUGGUGAGGCCACCAUUUAAAUGGUGAAAUGAAGGUUAACCAUUGGAAGUUUUGCUGGGCAAGUUUUUUUAAACAUCUUGGUGUGUUGUGUCUAAGGAUUUGGAUUUGUUGGCUUUCAUACGGAGGACCCUGUCACGAAGAUUUGUGCCAUUCGUUAUCAUCAAAUCAAUGGAAAAACGGUGUAGUUUAUUGUUCUCUAUCUUCAAAUAAAGCAGUGUUAAUGACCUUGUACAAGCGACAGAAUGAACCGUUUUUUUUGGUUUUUUUUAACAAUUGCAAGAAAAUUUUUUGGCCACUUAAAAGAUAAGUACAAAAUGAUGAAUUAACCGGAUUAAUUUCAUUUGUGAUAACAAUCUAAUUCUUUAUCGGCUGCUGACUCAAUUGGAACUUCUUUGCUUGUCCAUGACCAUUUCACUGCUUUACAUUUUAUAUCUUUAAUUUAAUACUAUUAUCUUUAGUGCUUAUUAUUUAGUCUACCAUAAGCUAGUUUAAGUUUUAAUUAAUAUAGUUAUUAUAGUUAAGGAAUUGUUUUUUAUUUUGAACUACUGUAGUUUAUUUUUAUUACUAGGAUACUAUCAGUUAUAUUUGUUUAUUUUAAUAAUUAUAUCUGCCAGUUAUAUUUAAUUAAAAUUGACUUUGAUGUCCUUGUUUGUAAUGUUAAAGAGUCAUUUUUGUGUAAACCAAACAUGUUGUUAAAACAUAAAAUUUAUGGCAAUUUUUUAUUGUGUUUGAAUAUAAUUCUGUUGUUUUGUAGGACACACUACAUUUACAUAUUGAGCAAAACAUUUUUGAAGUAAAAUAUCUUGUUCAGCUUUGACAUUUGACCAUGAAAAAUUAAAUAAAAUUGGCAGUUUAUGUAGUGCUAAGCAUGAGUUCUAAACAGUUGAAUGUUUUCUGAAUAGGUGGAGGCUAAGAAGGCGGAGCCAAGAGACAGCCGUACACCCUCUGUGAUUGGUGGAAAUGCUGGUAUGGGCCGUGGUAUGGCAGCAAUGCAAAGUCCUUAUGCACCAG
rnacentral:lncRNA from 1 species